rnacentral:rRNA from 1 species
GUGGGGAAUCUUAGACAAUGGGGGCAACCCUGAUCUAGCCAUGCCGCGUGAGUGAUGAAGGCCUUAGGGUUGUAAAGCUCUUUCAGUGGGGAAGAUAAUGACGGUACCCACAGAAGAAGCCCCGGCUAACUCCGUGCCAGCAGCCGCGGUAAUACGGAGGGGGCUAGCGUUGUUCGGACUUACUGGGCGUAAAGCGCACGUAGGCGGAUCGGAAAGGUGGGGGUGCAAUCCCAGGGCUCAACCCUGGAACUGCCUUCAAAACUAUCGGUCUGGAGUCCGAGAGGGGUGAGUGGAAUUCCGAGUGUAGAGGUGAAAUUCGUAGAUAUUCGGAUGAACACCAGUGGCGAAGGCGGCUCACUGGCUCGGUACUGACGCUGAGGUGCGAAAGCGUGGGGAGCAAACAGGAUUAGAUACCCGAGUAGUCC